AGAUGGCGAAGAAGAUGAGCGCAGCGCACAGCACCAGAGACAGCAUGUAGCAGAACGCAGCGAAAGUGAAGGCCAUGGCCGGCGGACCCCAAUCCCACCACACACGCCAAGAAGCCCCUAGGAGCCCGAUGCCUCCCUAGAGGACCGCACUCCCUCCAAGGAGCCGCGUCUGCACGCUCCUCUCCAGGCUAGUGCCCAGGAGGGCGCACAGCUAGCGAAGCGACUCGAGGGUCAGCGAAUAAGCGCUGGAUUCCCGCAGGCUCCGGCGACCCCAGACCCGGCCCUCCGGCGAAGACAGGAAAACGUGUGUCGAGAGUCGCUGGAGGGAACCGUCCGCAAAUCGAAGAAGAAACCAAAUCAGCAGCGAACACCUGCAAAUUAGUGCCAAGCUGUGAGCCCCUCGAGACCAACACGACAAGCGAUGCGACGACUCCACGGAGGACCGAGGGAGGAGGUCCCAUUCGCCCCAGGAAGAGCUCUCUGCUUUUCUCCACUAAACCGCUGAGGAGAGACGAGCGCUCCGCUCCGGACCCUCCCGCGCCACCGGGGCGCAAACGGAUAGUGUCCAGCGAGGUGCCCGAGCGGCCUCCGAGCUCCUCCCAAAUCCCAGAGCCGGGCAGCGCUCUUUCCCGAGAGAAGGAGUCUUUAGGUAGCCGGGAGGAGGUAGGUCCCGUUGGUCCUGCGCCCCAGACGCGGCUUCCAGCGCAGCCGUGCGCUCCGAGGCGCGCCCGUCCCCAACCGUGACUCCGGCCAGCCGGCCUCCGCAACCCAAGUGUCCCGGAAACCGGGGGUCGGACCGGGGCGAGCACUGGCUCCACCCAACGGGCCAACUCCAGCCCGGGUGGCUGCAGCAGUGGGUUUCAGGCCAAACGCUGUAGCUCGCUCCACCUGCUGCUGCCGCUGCCGCCGCCGCCGCCGCCGCCUUUGCCACUGCGAGAACUGUAGCGGUGCGACCCGGGAUUCCCUCCUCUCGGCGCCCCACCCUCGACUCCUGUUCCGCUGAGCGCGCCCUCCCCGGCGGGCGGAGACUGCAGCGCCGGGGGCUGAGGAAAGCCAUCCGACCUUGGGACUAGGGAAACGUGGACUUGGUGGGCUAUUCUGCGCUGAAGAGGCAGCAACGAGGGCUCGGUGGUAUUGGUGUUGGUCCUAGUGGAAUUGUCAAGAGGAUGCUUUUGAAGACCUGAUGCCUGGAGGUACAGCAGCCAUCUUGUGACCAUAAGGAGGAAAUCAACGCAUUAAGAAGGGAAAAGCUAAGAAGAUACAGAGAGCAGGGACCACUGACAACAUGAUCAAGCCACUCUACCAGGCCUUAACUUCCUAUUCCCUGACUUCUUAUUGAAAGAGACAAUAAAACUUCUCAUUUGUUUUAAC
rnacentral:lncRNA from 10 species